rnacentral:rRNA from 1 species
GAGGAUUUGAUCCUGGUCCAGGUUGAACGCUGGCGGCGUGGAUAAGGCAUGCAAGUCGAGCGAAUUAUUAUUCUAUGUAGGGGCAACCUGAAUUAGAAUAAUAAUUAGCGGCAAACGGGUUAAUACAAAAUAGAUAACAAACCCCAAAGACAGGCAUAACCCGGGGAAACCUGGGCUAAUUCCUGAUGUUUUUUACCAACAUCUGUUGGUAAAAAAAAAGAAAUUCCUUUAAAAGGGAAAUUCGCUUUGGGAUUGGUCUAUUUCCUAUCAGGUCGUUGGUAGGGUAAUGGCCUACCAAGCCGAUGACGGGUAGGCGGGCUGAGAGGCUGUCCGCCAACAAUGGCACUGAGACACGGGCCAUACUCCUACGGGAGGCAGCAGCCGAGAAUCUUGGACAAUGGGGGAAACCCUGAUCCAGCGACGCCGCGUGCAGGAAGAAGCUCUACGGAGUGUAAACUGCUUUUUGCCGGGAAAAAGUUCUUCUGAUGGUACCGGUAGAAUAAGGAGCUGCUAAUCACGUGCCAGCAGCAGCGGUGAUACGUGAGCUCCAAGCGUUAACCGGAUUUACUGGGUGUAAAGUGUUUUAAGGCGUCUGGAAAAGUCUAAUGUUAAAUCCUUUGGGCUUAACCUAAAGGCUGCAUUAGAUACUUUCUAGAUAGAGGACGGCAGAGGGAUCUGGAAUUGCCAGGGGAGGGGUGAAAUCCGUUGAUCUUGGUAAGAACACCGAAAUCGAAAGAAGGAUCCUAGGCCGAUCCUGACGCUGAUAAACGAAAGCGUAGGGAGUGAAAGGGAUUAGAUACCCCUGUAAUCUACGCCCUAAACGAUGGACACUAGCCAUUCUGAGUGUCGACCCUUAGAGUGGCGAAGCUAACGCGUUAAGUGUCCCACCUGGGGAGUACGGCCGCAAGGCUAAAACCCAAAGGAAUAGACGGGGACCCACACAAGCGGUGGACCAUGUGACUCAAUUCGAAGACAAACGAAGAACCUUACCAGGGUUUGAACUGCUAACGACACCUUUUCGAAAGAAAGGGGUUCCCACAAGGACGUUAGCAGAGGUGCUGCAUGAUCGUCGUCAGCAGGUGCCGUGAGGCGCAUGCUUAAAUGCCAAAACCUACGCAACCCCUAUCUUGCGUUUUACUUGUCGCAAGAGACUGCCUCUUUUAAAGAGGAGGAAGGUGGGGACGACGCCAGAUCCGUAUGGCCUUUAUGCCCUGGGCUGUACACGUGGUACAAUGGUUGCUACAGCGGGUUGCGAAGCAGCAAUGCGGAGCCAAUCCCUAAAAAGCAACCUCAGUUCGGAUCGAGGUCUGAAACCCGACCUCGUGAAGCCGGAAUCGCUAGUAAUCGCGAAUCAGCCAUGUCGCGAUGAAUAUGUUCCUGGGUCCUGUACUCACCGCCCGUCAACGCAAGCGAGCUGGAAAUACCUGAAGACCAG